CUUUAGGAAUUUAGUGAAGUAAAAGUAGUCAAAUAUAAAAAUGUACAGAUACCCCCAAAAAAUGACUUUACYCCACUGGUCAUCAUCCAAUAUGAUUACAUAGUAAACUGUCUUAAAAGGGGAAUGGAAACACUUUGGGAAGUAAAUCUAAGCAAAGAAAUGUAUUCAAACCACUAAUACUAAACAUGUCAUGUUAAAUGCACAUCUCUAUAUUUAGUAUUUUGAUCGUCAACCAGGUUUAUUUGAGCUAUGGUCUGCGCCAUUUUAAUUGCCAAAGUAACGACUAACACCAGUGCGUCACUGGCAGGAAUCAGCAUAUUGUCUGUGGAAUUGAGUUUUCGCACGGAGAGUGAAUCGAAGAGAGUACGGUUAGGUGCGGAUAACGAAGAUUGCAACGAACAAGUAGAAAUUCAAACAUGAAUUGUAUAGCGCCAGGCUGUAUGAAUUGGCUCCCCUAAAAAAAUCCCUAGGUAAACUACCAUCCAGUCUAAGGACCCACAACUUUUGAAGUGGCUCCAUGCCCUGAAGAGGAAGGACGUGCCAGCUCGAACUAGCAGAAUCUGCAGACAGCACUUCGCGAAAGCAGACUUCGCGAUGAAGGACACUUUCCACGCGGCAACUGGGAGUUUCCGAAUAGAAAGGAGUCAUAGACCUACGUUGAAGCCCUCUGCUUGCGCCUCCACCAUAACCCUCAAAUGUCAAAUGUAGGGGUUACCGACCGAUCAUCAACAUCGCUGACUUUGGAGUCAAGCAAAAGCGACUGAACGGAGGUGGCGAUGCGAGUCAAUGCAAUGGAGCCUGAGGUAACGUUAACCGGUCAUGACUGUUGACUAGGCUAGCGUUAGACACUGGACAACUUUGUUGCAACUAGUUGAAGGAAAGAACGGUUAGUACAGCAUGCCAAACUGACCCCUGGGUGCCAGAGUGUUCCUGUGCUGCGGUGGAGAAGUGGUCCACCGGGACCAUCACUAAAGAGCCAGGGGCCCAGAUACAUUGCGCUCACGACCAUCAGUAUACAACCGAGUCCUGCCCCUAUACGCCACAGAUGGAGCUGACAGUCAGAUCAGCCAUCCAUAAAAGGGAAUCGGAGUGGAACUGUUUUUCCCGCUGAUUUUUUUUAACCCGUUUCAAUGGAUGUGCUACCUUGUCGCGGUCCUGCUGUUUCGACUCUCUCAACCUAUGAAUGCUCAGCUAUGAAAAGCCAACUGACAUUUGCACCCUCUAUAACCACUGUGGUUAUUAUUUUGAUGUAAAAAGGACUUUUGUAAAAUACAUUUGAUUGAUUGCUGUGCUGGAUGCUGUGUAUUCAAAACUGUCUGAGUGAUGUAACAUAUUUGUGGAUUUGAUCUGCAUUUUAACUUCUUAAAGUGGCAAUCAGCAGUAGAAACAAAGUGUCUCCCUGCUCCUCUUUCGGUGAAAAACUGGAGGGAUGGGGCUGGAGAAAUGUAACCACUCAAAUUUCAUAGACAGAGAUAUAAAUGCAAGGACUAACCAUCCAUGAUAUCAAAAUUGUAAUCCUGUUUCUCUGAUCUGUUUCCACUACCAUGUACCCAGUUCACGUUGGAUAAAGGUGUCUGCUAAAACGGCAUAUAUUAUUAAAGUCUACUUUGACUCCAACUA